GGGGCCUCGGGGAGGGGGCGCGGCCGCAGCGGAGCGCUCGGGGAGCGCGUCAAGCUUCUGAAACUGAUAUUGAACCAUCUGCAAGACAAAAUCCAGUGGCUUCCAACUUGACAGCAGCGGUUUCUAACUGGGUCUUUGGUCAUCCCUAGGAAAGUGGAUAAUCAGUACGCUCUGGGAUUGCUCUCAUGUGGGAGCCUGCAUACUGCAACACAGGCUUCUCAGAAAAACACCAUUGCCUUUCUGGGAGCAAUCUGCCUUCUUGUGUUCAUUCCUGACUUGAAACUCUGCUAAGAAAAAAUAGGUCUUGUGUGUUGGUAUUUUAAAACAUUUUUCAUACAAUGCAACUAUUUAUUAAAAAAAGAAUAAUGCCCAAGAGGUGGUACUUGAGAGCUUUCAGGUUUUUUGACACCUGGAUCUGAAAGAAGUAAAGUUUAUAUGAUCGGGUGUAGAUAUGAGUGUGUAUACUUUCUUUUGCUCUGUAUGUCAGUCAGAUUUGAUAAAAAGCUCAAAGGCUUCUUGUUAAAAAAAACAAAAAGAGAUGGACGGAUCAAGAUUCUACUGCUAUUGUCAUUCUUCCUUUUUCACCUGUUUCUUUCCUGAGGGAAGGACUGCAGCCUGCCCUCAACUCUUACAGUGUGUCAAGAGAAUCCCCAUGGAGAAAGCACUGUGGAGGAACUUCACACCAGAGAAUUCAGUGAUGAGAUGUGAAACAUUAGGAAAUCCGGACUUAUUAGUUCAGUUCAUGAAAGUACUUCUCUUUUUAUGGCAUGCGUUUUUCUCCAUUCAGGACAGUCAGUUUUGAUAUCUUUUGAAAACUUGAGUUUGCAGUUAAUUAACAUUCUUCAAAUGUAGAGCUCUUUAGGGAUGUGCUGGAGACUUUGGUGCCUAAUCUGUUACACUCAGUCUUCUGUUUCCAUUCAUCUCACCUUGUCAGUUACAGUUACUGGUUUUUUGCUUUUUGCCCAGCCAUUCCCAUCUCAGUUGGCUUGGUUCUGUCACAUUCGUUGUUCCCAGUUUCUCCAGUUCUCUCUCCCCAUUCUGUUUUUCUCUUCCAUGCUUUACUGGCCUUUCAGUUGCUAUUCUUGCCCCAGUUUUCUGUUCUGAUUCUUAGUGCCAGUCCUUCCCAUUUUUCCUUCCUGCAUGUUCCUCAUUCAGAGUCAUUUGUCCUUGAAAUUUCUUUCUUUGAGUUUCCUCUGAGAAUCCUUGUUCCAACCAUUUUGAGACCACAGUUUCAAAAGACUUCCAGUCUUACUUGCCCUCUGUUUAGAUUGACUGCCUUCUUCCUCCAUGCUGUCUAGGCCUGAUACAGAAGGGAUAAACUACCUGUUCUUCCUUUUUUUGCUAGCCUGUGCCUGACAUGAGCUCUAACAACUUGGAAGCAGGUGAAUUGUUUUGGCAAAAAUAUAUGUAACUGAAAACUGGCUUACGGGCAGUCUCAGAAACAAAGAGUUUUAGGAACCAAGCCCAGGACAAACAAAUUGGCCUUUUUAGCACUGAGGAUUUUAUUGAACAUUUUUAAAAGGAGUUGUCUUGUGUCUCUGCAAAAGCAGGAAAAGGCAAGGGGAGAAACAGGGAAGAAUAAAACUGGGCUAAAACAUGCCUGAGACUCCCCUGAAGGUACUGCUCUUGCACUGCUUAGUGCUCCUGCUGUACUCAGAGGGUGGGUGAGGUGAUCUUGGCAUAGAAUGAUGAUGUUGAAACUUGCAAUUAAUUUUUACUCCAUUUGAUUUAAAGAGUAAACCCAAUUCGGAUGAUUUUUGUUUGGGAAAGCUAAAAAAUAGCAAUGUGUGUUGCUUCCUCUUGGUCUUUUAAAAAAAUAGUCAAAAUCAUCCUUCACCCAGGCAUUACAGAUAUGUUGAAAAGGAUGAUGUAUGUGAUGCAGAUCCCCUUGAGUUCACUUUUAAAACAUCUCUUUCUGCAAAAGCUUUCCUCAGUUUAUGGUGCUAGAGGAUGGUGUCUCUGCUUACUUUCUUUAGUCACUUCCAUGUUGUUUAUAAUCUGAGGAAAGUUUGGUUGUUUCUUACUACCUUACAAUAUUAGUGUGACCAUUUUCUUGUGUAAUGUUGCUACUGAUUUCCACUGUAGAGUAAAUGCUGUCAUAUUUAGAAAUACAUGUCCACCUCCAGUGCUGUAUUUUACUGUGAAAGCUGUCAUAGAAUGAGUGACAAUUCACUUGCCAGCCUUGCUUUCUGUCCACCCACUCACAGUAUCUGGAAGAUCCUCAAGUUGAAUUGGUACACAAGCUUCUCAGCCAAAAGCUGUGCAAAUGACCUGGGAAAUCAACAGAGUUUUUGUUCCCUCAGAGUGGCAGGCAUUUGAAGGAGUAGUCUGAACUUACAUUGUACACUUUUUCCACUCUUAACUUUCUAUGCUGCUAUGUAUUGCCUUUUCUUUCUUUUAGUAUGUUAAUAUCUUUGGCUUUUUUUCUUUAAAUGAUUCUACUUUUUUUCCUCUGUACUAUGAUAGAAAGCAGAUAUUUCAAGUAUGUCUUAGGCACAAUAAAGUUGCUUUUCA
ensembl:lncRNA